CAGCAGCCGCGGUAAUACGUAGGGUGCAAGCGUUAAUCGGAAUUACUGGGCGUAAAGCGUGCGUAGGCGGUGAGUUAAGUCUGCUGUGAAAUCCCCGGGCUCAACCUGGGAAUGGCAGUGGAUACUGGCUCGCUAGAGUGUGUCAGAGGAUGGUGGAAUUCCCGGUGUAGCGGUGAAAUGCGUAGAGAUCGGAAGGAACAUCUGUGGCGAAGGCGACUAUCUGGGCCAACACUGACACUGAGGCACGAAAGCGUGGGGAGCAAACAGGAUUAGAUACCCCCGUAGUCCCUGUCUCUUAUAC
rnacentral:rRNA from 1 species